AUGAGGAUCAGUGAAAUGGAUGUGGAUAGGGUUGUAGGAUACUUCAAGGGCAAGAGCAUCCUCAUCACUGGUUCAACAGGGUUCCUAGGAAAAGUGCUUGUGGAGAAGAUAUUGAGGGUUCAGCCUGAUGUCAAGAAGCUCUUUCUUCUGAUUCGGGCCUCCGACGUCGAAUCCGUAAAGUUUCGAAUUCAUAAUGAGAUCAUGGGGAAGCAGAUCUUUCAAGUUUUGAAAGAAAAACAUGGUUUGGAGUUUGAUAAUUUUGUCAAAGAAAAGAUAUGUCCUUUGGUGGGGGAUGUCAUGCAUGAGAACUUUGGACUAGACACUGUCAAACUGAGAGAAGUGUCCAAGGACAUAGACGUUAUCAUUAAUGGAGCCGCCACUACGAACUUCUCUGAAAGAUAUGAUGUGGCUUUCGACACGAAUGUCUUGGGAGUGAAGCACACUUGCGAAUUCGCAAAGAAGUGUACUAAGCUCAAAAUGUUGCUUCAUGUUUCAACUGCCUAUGUAGCUGGUGAGAAAGAGGGCCUAAUAACAGAGAAGACAUUCUUGAUGGGUGAGACACUAAGGGUGGGCACACAUCUGGACAUCGAAAUUGAGCUAAAUUUGAUCAAAGAUACCAAGAGAGAACUAAGGGCUAGCAGUUCCACAGAGAAAGCUGAGAGGAAAACCAUGAAGGAGCUUGGCCUCAAGAGGGCGCGCAAUUUUGGGUGGCCAAACACCUAUCUCUUCACUAAGGCAAUGGGGGAGAUGAUGAUAGGGCACCUGCGAGGGGACGUUCCAGUGGUCAUCAUUCGCCCGAGCAUCAUAACCAGUACAAUCAAGGAGCCAUUGCCUGGAUGGAUCGAAGGAAUCAGGACGGUCGACACAGUGAUUAUGGGUCAUGCGAAGCAAACCUUGCCAUUCUUCGUAAUCAACCUUGAUUUAACACUUGACAUGAUUCCAGGGGAUAUGGUGGUGAACGCUAUGAUGGCUGCCAUGGCAGCACACUCAGAGGACCAUCAAGCUCAGAUCAUUUACCAUGUAACUUCGUCGGUACUUAAUCCUACACCCUCAUCCCUCGUCAUAGACUCAAUGCACCGUUACUUCGUUGAGAACCCGCCAUGCAAGGGGAGGAACGGCGAGCGUGUCCGGCUGAAGAAGAUGCGAAUCUUCAGCACGCUUGCGCGGUUGAGAUUGUACACGGCCAUCAAGUAUGAGCUUCCCCUCGAGAUGCUUCGCCUACUGAGCAUUGCGCUCUGUGGUGUUUUCUCACGGCGCUACAAUGAGCUCAAUAGAAAAUACAGAUUCCUCAUGCAUAUGAUCGAGCUCUAUGCACCAUUCGCCUUGUUCAAAGGGUGCUUUGAUGACACGAACUUGGAGAGGCUAAGGAUGGCAAUGAACAAGGAUGAUCAAAUUAACAAUGGAGCCUAUUCCCUUGACUUUGAUCCCAAGUCCAUCCACUGGGUUGAUUAUUUCUAUGGUGUUCACAUUCCUGGUGUGCUUAAAUAUUGUGUUUAA
rnacentral:rRNA from 1 species